rfam:Colius striatus contig75156, whole genome shotgun sequence.
UAGGCAGAAGCUUGCUGGUUUGAGCAUCUAGCUGUUAAUUAGGGUGUUAUGGGAUUGAGGCCCAUCUGCCUAG